rnacentral:rRNA from 1 species
AUUGAACGCUGGCGGCAGGCCUAACACAUGCAAGUCGAACGAGUGGCGGACGGGUGAGUAAUGUCUGGGAAACUGCCUGAUGGAGGGGGAUAACUUCUGGAAACGGUAGCUAAUACCGCAUACCAUCAGAUGUGCCCAGAGGGGAUUUGCUUGUUGGGGGGGUAACGGGUCACCAAGGCGACGAUCCGUAGCUGGUCUGAGAGGAUGACCGGGCAACCUGGAACAGGGACACGGUCAAGACGCCUACGGGAGGCAGCAGUGGGGAAUAUUGCACAAUGGGACCAAGCCGGAUGCAGCCAUGCCGCGUGUAUGAAGAAGGCCUGCGGGUUGUAAAGUACUUACAGCGGGGAGGCGUUACCCGCAGAAGAAGCACCGGCUAACUCCGUGCCAGCAGCCGCGGUAAUAC